rnacentral:tRNA from 1 species
GGCCCCGUAGCUCAGAGGAUAGAGCAGCGGUUUCCUAAACCGUGUGUCGGAGGUUCGACUCCCCCCGGGGCCGCCA